AUUGAACGCUGGCGGCAUGCCUUACACAUGCAAGUCGAACGGCAGCACGGGGCAACCUGGUGGCGAGUGGCGAACGGGUGAGUAAUGCAUCGGAACGUGCCAUUGAGUGGGGGAUAACGUAGCGAAAGUUGCGCUAAUACCGCAUAUUCUGUGAGCAGGAAAGCAGGGGACUGCAAGGCCUUGCGCUCUUUGAGCGGCCGAUGUCAGAUUAGCUAGUUGGUGAGGUAACGGCUUACCAAGGCGACGAUCUGUAGCGGGUCUGAGAGGAUGAUCCGCCACACUGGAACUGAGACACGGUCCAGACUCCUACGGGAGGCAGCAGUGGGGAAUUUUGGACAAUGGGCGCAAGCCUGAUCCAGCCAUGCCGCGUCGGUGAAGAAGGCCU
rnacentral:rRNA from 1 species